rnacentral:rRNA from 1 species
AACGAACGCUGGCGGCAGGCUUAACACAUGCAAGUCGAGCGCCCCGCAAGGGGAGCGGCAGACGGGUGAGUAACGCGUGGGAAUCUACCCAUCUCUACGGAAUAACGCAUGGAAAUGUGUGCUAAUACCGUAUACGUCCUUCGGGAGAAAGAUUUAUCGGAGAUGGAUGAACCCGCGUUGGAUUAGCUAGUUGGUGGGGUAAAGGCCUACCAAGGCGACGAUCCAUAGCUGGUCUGAGAGGAUGAUCAGCCACACUGGGACUGAGACACGGCCCAGACUCCUACGGGAGGCAGCAGUGGGGAAUAUUGGACAAUGGGCGCAAGCCUGAUCCAGCCAUGCCGCGUGAGUGAUGAAGGCCCUAGGGUUGUAAAGCUCUUUCACCGGUGAAGAUAAUGACGGUAACCGGAGAAGAAGCCCCGGCUAACUUCGUGCCAGCCGCCGCGGUAAAAC